GUGGCUUUACUCACUACUUAACUUACACAAGUACACAACAUAACUUGUGCACGAAGUUAAGCACGAGUGGCUCCAAAAUGAUUCCGUUUCCCCGUUAUAUCUACGGAACCCUAAACAUACUGCGUUUUAGGCAUCGCUAUUAUCAUCAUAUUACAUGUUCUGCAUUUUGGGUAUAUAUAGACCAGUAAAUUAGCUGAACUUCAGUACCUAUUCAAAGCUAAGGCAUUAAGUACGCAUCUUUCUCUCUUUGACAUCAUGAUGUGGUUAAGGAUAUUCUUCGUGUUUCUAUUGUUUGCUGUGAGUCUGACGUGGGCUGAUAUGAUAGCAAAACCCAUGUGUCGUGAUGGAGUUGUAUCCGUGAGAAGCGUCCGCUGUCCACCAACAACACCUUUCCCGUAAGUACUUCUAAGUUUUUCAAUAAGUAGAUGAAGGUACCCUUUAAAGCAGGCGUUAUCAUCUUGAUUAGCUUUUCCAACUAAAUAUGCUGGGGUCGGCUUCCAGUCUUACCAAAUUCAGCUGAGUAUCAGCGCGACUGCCUAUCUUACACUCUUCAAUCCAAUUACGCAGGCAAUCAGAUGAAGCCUUUGGGCACCCAUCCACGGACUUAAUGUGCUUGAUCUACCGGCGGAGUUUUUACUAAGCCAUGAGCCGAUAUAUGUUCCAAAAACAUGAAAAAGUUAACCUAACCCAUUAAAAUAUGUUUUCUGAAAUUUUAACCGCACUUAUUUUAGAGCUACGAAGAGCACCUUUUUAGGAAAAUGCUAGCAAAUGAUGGUGCAGGUAACGUAUAAGCAAUUGUGUAAAAAUGAUCACACCGUUCACUUAAUCAUGUCUUUUUUUUCUUUUCAGCUAUGAAUAUGAUGAAUAUCCUGACAACAGCAGAAAAGCAACGGAAUAAGUUGUAAAAGCGUCAUCAUAAAUCGUGAAAAAGUAAAUAGAUAACAAUAAAAUAAUGAUACGUAUUUUUUUCUUUUCUUUCACAAAGAAAUAACAACAAACAUACAAUACGCUUGAAUUUUGCGUUUCGUCAAUUUAAAGCACAAUACAUAGACGUGACGUCACAGACUACCUCUUUAUUGUUUUGUUAAAAUAUGUGUUUCUUAUUUUUUGCCAUUUAAAAAUGCUGUCUAAUUAGAAUCACAUUUUUUUUACCCUGUCGUCACGAAUAUUUGUCAAUAAAUUGUCAAUUUGCGGUGCAAGUGCAUUUUUAUUUUUAUCCGAACCUACUCAAAAACCUGCUCUAAUUCUACUAAGAAAAACAUUCUAUCAAACUUAUGUGCUUUCCUGUAGCCAUUCCGCUGUAUGUAUUUUAUGUAUUAAAGUAGAUUUUUGCGGCAGAAAAACGUGUGGAUAAAUGGUUUUACUAACUAACUUCUACAACAUAACCGUUAAAACAAGAGUAGCCCAGAAACGAUUGCGUUUCCUUCUGACACCUACGGAACCCUAAAGUUACUGCGUUUCAGGCAUCGUUAUUAUCAUCAUAUUACAUACUACAUCAUACUGAAUUCGGGUAUAUAAAGAGCUGUCACCUAACUGAACUUCAGUAUUCAAAGCUAAGGCAUUAAGUACGCAUCUUUCUUUUUUUGACAUAAGGAUGUGGUCAAGGUUAUUCUUCGUAUUUCUGUUGUUUGCUGUGAGUCUGACGUGGGCUGGUUAUCUACCAGUAUCUGACUACCAGUGUCCUAAUGGAAAACCACGCCUUAGUAACGGCCGCUGUCCAAUGCCUGACCCCGACGAAUAUUAUGAUGAUAAAUGAUACAUAUCCUGACAACAGCAGUAAAGCAAGUAAAUAAGUUGAAAAACAUUUUAGCAAAUAUUUAAUGUUUUUUUUUUAA
rnacentral:lncRNA from 1 species